GCUGCCUCUGUAGUUGUUUCAAGUGUGGCUGCUGUGUCGCAUGUGCACCAGUAGGUGGCAGAGAGGAGAGAGGUUUUUUUGUCUAAGCUGAGUGCUCUAACCUGUGACCAUCUGAAUGAUUAGUAGUCUAGUAUU